CUGACCUCCGGGUGACUAUGGGCGCCACACCAACACUGCGUGCGGAGGCUCUGUGGUGUCUAAACACUGCAGUUAAACACCACUCAUUGAACUCCAACGAAGGAAUUGCGGAGCUGUUUAAAGAAAUGUUUCCCGACUCUGACAUCGCCAAGUCAUUCACGUGUGGUAAAGACAAAACCGGGUACAUAAUCAGAUUUGGAUUAGCAUCGUUCUUCAAAAAACAGCUUGUCGAUGGCAUCAACAAGGCUGGGCCAUUUGUGUUGAUGUUUGAUGAGAGCCUCAAUCAGGCGUCAAAGAAAAAACAGCUUGACAUCCAUAUUCGAUACUGGGAGGAUGGCCGUGUCCAGUCCAGAUACUUUGGAUCUCAGUUUUUGGGACAUGGAAGGACCGAUGAUUUGUUGCAUCACAUCAAGGAAUGUGUUACACAACUGAAUAUGAGGGAACUACUAUCAGUUGGCAUGGAUGGCUGCAGCUGAUCAAAACAGAACUAAAGUAUGAAAAGAACUUGGUCUCCCCUAUGAGUGUAGACACAGGCCUGGGUGCUGAAUCUGCCAUCAAAGACCUUCAGAGCAAACCAGGAUGCAAGGUUGGUGAGCUUUCUGUGCUCACCUUCAGGCAAGAAUGUUUGCAGGGCCUGGUUAAGGUGGUUAUGAAGCUACAGGAGAAAAGCCCCCUGAAAUUCCCAGUGGUCAGGCAGAUUGCUGAUUGGUGCAUCAGACAGAUGAAGAGCAUAGUGCAAACAU